AUUGAACGCUGGCGGCAGGCCUAACACAUGCAAGUCGAGCGAGCGGCGGACGGGUGAGUCAUGUCUGGGAAACUGCCUGAUGGAGGGGGAUAACUACUGGAAACGGUAGCUAAUACCGCAUACCAUCAGAUGUGCCCAGAUGGGAUUAGCUAGUAGGUGGGGUAACGGCUAACCUAGGCGACGAUCCCUAGCUGGUCUGAGCGGAUGACCAGCCACACUGGAACUGAGACACGGUCCAGACUCUUACGGUGGGCAGCAGUGGGGAAUAUUGCACAAUGGGCGCAAGCCUGAUGCAGCCAUGCCGCGUGUGUGAAGAAGGCCUUCGGGUUGUAAAGCACUUUCAGCGGGGAGGCGUUACCCGCAGAAGAAGCACCGGCGAACUCCGUGCCAGCAGCCGCGGUAAUAC
rnacentral:rRNA from 1 species